CCCUUAGAUGUUCUGGGCAGCACGCACGCUACAAUGGUCUUCGCAAACGGAUGCAUUCUCGAAGGAGAAUGCCAAUCUUGGAAUCUAUGCCUUGGUCGGGACAGUUGCUUGCAAUUUUUCGACUCGAACCAGGAAUUCCUUGUAAUCGUGAUUCAUCACAUCACGAUGAAUACGUCCCUGCCCUUUGUACACACCGCCCGUCGCUCCUACCGAUCGAAGAGUUAGGUGAAUUGUUUUGAUCGAUAAGAUUUGACUAUGGUCAACUCUCGUUGUGAAAUUCUGUGAAGCUGACUGUUUAGAGGAAGGAAAAGUCGUAACA
rnacentral:rRNA from 1 species